AGAGUUUGGAUCCUGGCUCAGGAUGAACGCUAGCGGCAGGCCUAAUACAUGCAAGUCGGACGGGAUUGGGGGCUUGCCCCCAUGAGAGUGGCGCACGGGUGCGUAACACGUAUGUAACCUACCCUUAUCUGGGGGAUAGCCUCUCGAAAGAGAGAUUAACACCGCAUAAAAUCACAGUACGGCAUUGUACAAUGAUCAAAUAUUUAUAGGAUAGGGAUGGGCAUGCGGGACAUUAGCUAGUUGGCGGGUAACGGCCCACCAAGGCUACGAUGUUUAGGGGAUCUGAGAGGAUGGCCCCCCACACUGGUACUGAGACACGGACCAGACUCCUACGGGAGGCAGCAGUAAGGAAUAUUGGUCAAUGGAGGCAACUCUGAACCAGCCAUGCCGCGUGCAGGAAGACAGCCCUAUGGGUCGUAAACUGCUUUUAUACCGGAAUAAACCCCUUUACGUGUAAAGGGUUGAAUGUACGGUAGGAAUAAGGAUCGGCUAACUCCGUGCCAGCAGCCGCGGUAAUACGGAGGAUCCAAGCGUUAUCCGGAUUUAUUGGGUUUAAAGGGUGCGUAGGCGGCCUGUUAAGUCAGGGGUGAAAUUUUCCGGCUCAACCGGGACAUUGCCUUUGAUACUGACGGGCUUGAAUGCAGCUGAGGUAGGCGGAAUGUGACAAGUAGCGGGAAAUGCAUAGAUAUGUCACAGAACACCAAUUGCGAAGGCA
rnacentral:rRNA from 1 species